GUGGGGAAUCUUGCGCAAUGGGCGAAAGCCUGACGCAGCCAUGCCGCGUGAAUGAUGAAGGUCUUAGGAUUGUAAAAUUCUUUCACCGGGGAAGAUAAUGACGGUACCCGGAGAAGAAGCCCCGGCUAACUUCGUGCCAGCAGCCGCGGUAAUACGAAGGGGGCUAGCGUUGCUCGGAAUUACUGGGCGUAAAGGGCGCGUAGGCGGACAUUUAAGUCAGAGGUGAAAGCCCAGGGCUCAACCUUGGAAUUGCCUUUGAUACUGGAUGUCUUGAGUUCGGGAGAGGUGAGUGGAAUGCCGAGUGUAGAGGUGAAAUUCGUAGAUAUUCGGCGGAACACCAGUGGCGAAGGCGACUCACUGGCCCGAUACUGACGCUGAGGCGCGAAAGCGUGGGGAGCAAACAGGAUUAGAAACCCUGGUAGUAC
rnacentral:rRNA from 1 species